rnacentral:rRNA from 1 species
CCUACGGGUGGCAGCAGUCGAGAAUCUUCGGCAAUGGGCGCAAGCCUGACCGAGCGACGCCGCGUGCGGGAUGAAGGCCUUCGGGUUGUAAACCGCUGUCGAGGGGAAUGAAGUGCAGGUGGGUUCUCCCAUCUGUUUGACAGAUCCCUGGAGGAAGCAUGGGCUAAGUUCGUGCCAGCAGCCGCGGUAAGACGAACCAUGCAAACGUCAUUCGGAAUCACUGGGCUAGGAGGGUGCGUUGGCGGGGUUGGAAAGCCCUCAGCCCAACUGAGGAAUUGCGCUUGAUACUGCAUGACUAGAGAAUGAUAGAGGUGGGUGGAACUGAUGGUGGAGCGGUGAAAUGCGUUGAUAUCAUCAGGAACACCAGUGGCGAAGGCGACCCACUGGGUCAUUUCUGACGCUGAGGUACGAAAGCUAGGGUAGCGAACGGGAUUAGAUACCCGAGUAGUC